UACGGAGGGUGCAAGCGUUAUCCGGAUUCACUGGGUUUAAAGGGUGCGUAGGCGGGCAGGUAAGUCCGUGGUGAAAUCUCUGAGCUUAACUCAGAAACUGCCAUGGAUACUAUUUGUCUUGAAUGUUGUGGGGGUAAGCGGAAUAUGUCAUGUAGCGGUGAAAUGCUUAGAUAUGACAUAGAACACCAAUUGCGAAGGCAGCUUACUACACAAAUAUUGACGCUGAGGCACGAAAGCGUGGGGAUCAAACAGG
rnacentral:rRNA from 1 species